UUUGUUCAAGGAACAAAAGGUAUCAACAACCCUCUCAACAAUUGAUACAUGUUCAACUACUGAUCCUUUCCCCUAAUUAAUCCAUAGCGAACAAGGGCGAAUUGCCAAAGAUCGAUCUCUCAAUCGUUCAGCGAUGAGAUGAUAGAGAUGAUUGGCCUUCCUUUUUAUCUCAGAUGUGCCCAAAGCGAAGACCGCUCUCGAAUUCCUUUCACAAACGUAAACCCUGGCUAUUACUUUUGGGCGUUUGUUCGAUCCUGUAACCUGUAGAUGGAUCCGUCUGCCGCCGCCCCCGAAAUUGGGAAGAGAGUGCUGCGGCUAUACGGGUUUUGUAACAGAAUCCACUCGUUUGCCACGAUGGAGGACAAGUGGUUGCGAUUGUGGGAGUUGAUGAGUUGGAAGAAGAUAGAUUGAGCCUGGAGAUGCUUCACUUAAAAGUAGGGCCGUGGAAGAUGUGAGAUCCAUUGCCAGAGGAAUUCAGACAAAGCGUUUCAUCCAUGGGCUUCCUUUAUCCGUCUUGAAUGACAACAUUCAUGAAUUGGAAAAAUAUAAGGGAGAUUGCUGUUGUUAUGAAUUGCGGAGCAAGCAGUGGGGAAAUGUGAUGGGUGUGAAAGCGUGAGCGUCUCCUGCUUGUCAAUUUGUUAAAUAUUUCUGUUUAGCUCGAAAGGGUGGAUUAGUUUUAGCAGAAUUGGUCAGAUAUAAUGGAGGAAUGAGAUUUAGGAUAUAUAUUGCCGAAGAGGUAAAGAUGGAGUGCAAGGUGGGUACUGAAAUACGUGUUGCCUGGUGAGAUGUUGAAACUGGUUAAAGGCAGAGCAACAUGCGAGGACACAUGGAAGAACCUGAUGAAACUUAUAUCCCCAAAUCUGGUGGGAUCGUUGACACCUCACACAAGAAUGAUCAGCCUGAAAUUUUUAUUAAGGUGAAGCGUUGAAAUAGUUUUUGGUCCUAUAUUAAUGGUAUUUACUAUUCACAAAGGAAAGCAAAUUUGAAUAGAAAGGUUUGGACAAAGUUACUUGUAGAAUGCGCUAUAUUUUGGGCUGAAAACCUCCUUGACUGGCUUGAUUUAAUAUUUUAUUCCUCCAUCAAGGGUGCUUUAAUCCUACAAACAACUCGAGCACAGGAAUUGUUAUUGGGCAUUCAAAAUGUAAUUUGGUAUUACAGCAGUCUAAUUCUUCAGUGAGAGCAAUUCUUUGAUGUUAUUUUUAGUUCAUUCAACUGUUUUGGCUUUGUUUUUUCUUUAACUGUUAUGAAUAUAAAGAAACAAAGCUGCUUGUAUAAUGCAUUAUAUAUAGAGCAAUAAGACUCCUUAGCUGGCUUAAUUCAUUA